rnacentral:rRNA from 1 species
GAUCAUGGCUCAGAAUCAACGCUGGCGGCGCGCUUAACACAUGCAAGUCGAACGAGAAAGGGGAGCAAUCCCUGAGUACAGUGGCGUCCGGGUGAGUAACACGUGGGUAAUCUGCCCUCUGGUGGGGAAUAACCCUGGGAAACCGGGGCUAAUACCGCAUAAGUCCGCAAGGAGAAAGUCGCAAGACGCCGGAGGAGGAGCCCGCGGCCGAUUAGCUUGUUGGUGGGGUAAUGGCUCACCAAGGCCAAGAUCGGUAGCCGGCCUGAGAGGGCACACGGCCACACUGGCACUGAAAUACGGGCCAGACUCCUACGGGAGGCAGCAGUGGGGAAUCUUGCACAAUGGGGGAAACCCUGAUGCAGCGACGCCGCGUGAGCGAUGAAGCCUUCGGGGUGUAAAGCCUUCGGCAGGAACGAUUAUACGGUACCUGCAAAAAAAGUGCGGCUAACUAAAAUUCC